rnacentral:rRNA from 1 species
UACAGCGGUCUCAAGCGUUGUUCGGAUUCAUUGGGCGUAAAGGGUGUGUAGGUGGCUCCGUAAGUCGGGUGUGAAAUUUCGGAGCUUAACUCCGAAACUGCAUUCGAUACUGCGGUGCUUGAGGACUGGAGAGGAGACUGGAAUUCAUGGUGUAGCAGUGAAAUGCGUAGAGAUCAUGAGGAAGACCAAUGGCGAAAGCAGAUCUCUGGGACGGUACUGACGCUGAGACGCGAAAGCGUGGGGAGCGAACAGG